AGAGUUUGAUCCUGGCUAGGACGAACGCUGGCGGCGUGCCUAACACAUGCAAGUCGAGCGGGCCGGUGUUGGGCGGUGAGUCUGGCACCGGUUUAGCGGCGGACGGGUGAGUAACGCGUGGAUAACCUACCCGUGAGACCGGGAUAACCCUGGGAAACUGGGGCUAAUACCGGAUAUACUCCUGCUGGGGCAUCCUGGUGGGAGGAAAGGUGCUUGUUGGUGCCGCUUACGGAUGGGUCCGCGUCCCAUUAGCUAGAUGGUGGGGUAAUGGCCUACCAUGGCUGCGAUGGGUAGCCGGCCUGAGAGGGUGACCGGCCACACUGGGACUGAGACACGGCCCAGACUCCUACGGGAGGCAGCAGUGGGGGAUCUUCCGCAAUGGGCGAAAGCCUGACGGAGCGACGCCGCGUGGGGGAUGAGGGCCUUCGGGUUGUAAACCCUUGUUCUGGGGGAAGAAGGGAGUGACGGUACUCCAGGAGGAAGCCCCGGCUAACUACGUGCCAGCAGCCGCGGUAAGACGUAGGGGGCGAGCGUUGUCCGGAAUUACUGGGCGUAAAGGGCGCGUAGGCGGCCCAGGAAGUCGGGGGUGAAAGA
rnacentral:rRNA from 1 species